ACCCACGUGGCGGAAUUGGUAGACGCUAUUAGUAGGCUAUCCUUGAGGGUGCGCAGUUAAAUAAUCCCUCUCGCUGUAAGAUAGUGCAGGUUCGAGUCCUGCCGUGGGAA
rnacentral:tRNA from 1 species